rnacentral:rRNA from 1 species
GGCAUCUUGAUCUGAUUAAAGAAUUUAUUGGUAAUGGAUGGGGAUGCGUGACAUUAGGUAGUAGGUGAGGUAACCGGCUCACCUAGCCGACGAUGUCUAGGGGUUCUGAGAGGAAGGUCCCCCCACACUGGUACUGAGAUACGGACCAGACUCCUACGGGAGCAGCAGUGAGGAAUAUUGGUCAAUGGUCGGAAGACUGAACCGGCCAUGCCGCGUGCAGGAAGAAUGUCUUAUGGAUUGUAAACUGCUUUUGUAUGGGGCUAAUAAUAACUUUGCGAAGUUAGAUGCAGGUACCAUACGAAUAAGGAUCGGCUAACUCCGUG